rnacentral:rRNA from 1 species
CAGUCGCCGCGGUAAAACGGAGGGUGCAAGCGUUAAUCGGAAUUACUGGGCGUAAAGCGCACGCAGGCGGUCUGACAAGUCAGAUGUGAAAUCCCCGGGCUUAACCUGGGAACUGCAUUUGAAACUGUCAGGCUGGAGUCUUGUAGAGGGGGGUGGAAUUCCAGGUGUAGCGGUGAAAUGCGUAGAGAUCUGGAGGAAUACCGGUGGCGAAGGCGGCCCCCUGGACAAAGACUGACGCUCAGGUGCGAAAGCGUGGGGAGCAAACAGGAUUAGAGACCCCUGUAGUCCCUGUCUCUUAUAC